rnacentral:rRNA from 1 species
UACAGAGGUCCCAAGCGUUGUUCGGAUUUACUGGGCGUAAAGGGUGCGUAGGUGGCGAGGUAAGUCGGAUGUGAAAGCUCGGAGCUCAACUCCGAAAUGGCAUUGGAAACUACCUUGCUCGAGGGUUGGAGGGGGGACUGGAAUUCUCGGUGUAGCAGUGAAAUGCGUAGAUAUCGAGAGGAACACCAGUGGCGAAGGCGAGUCCCUGGACAACUCCUGACACUGAGGCACGAAAGCUAGGGGAGCAAACGGG